UUUUAAAUGGCCGCAGUAUUUUGACUGUGCAAAGGUAGCAUAAUCAUUAGUUUUUUAAUUAAAAGCUUGUAUGAAAGGCUGGACGAGGUAAAAUCUGUCUCUAUUUAAAUUAAAAUAGAAUUUAACUUUUAAGUUAAAAGGCUUAAAUAUUAUUAAAAGACGAGAAGACCCUAUAGAUCUUUAUAAUUUAUUAAAUUAAAUUAAUUUAGAAAUAUUAAUGUUUUAUUUGAUUAAAUUAUUUUAUUGGGGUAAUAAAAAGAUUGAAUUAAUUCUUUUUUAUAAUAAACAUUAAUUUAUGAAUAUUGAUGAUCCAGUUUUACUGAUUAUAAGAUUAAGUUACCUUAGGGAUAACAGCGUAAUUUUUUUAGAGAGUUCAUAUCGAUAAAAAAGUUUGCGACCUCGAUGUUGGAUUAAAGAUUAUUUUAGGUGUAGAAGCUUAAUAAUUUUGGUCUGUUCGACCAUUAAAUCUUUACAUGAUCUGAGUUCAGACCGGCGUAAGCCAGGUCGGUUUCUAUCUUUAAUAAAACAAAAUAUUUUAGUACGAAAGGACCAAAUAUUUGAUAUAUUUAUAUUUAAUUUAUUGAAUAUCA
rnacentral:rRNA from 1 species